GAUGAACGCUGGCGGCGUGCCUAAUACAUGCAAGUCGAGCGAACAGACGAGGAGCUUGCUCCUCUUACGUUAGCGGCGGACGGGUGAGUAACACGUGGAUAACCUACCUAUAAGACUGGGAUAACUUCGGGAAACCGGAGCUAAUACCGGAUAACAUGUUGAACCGCAUGGUUCAACAGUGAAAGACGGUCUUGCUGUCACUUAUAGAUGGAUCCGCGCCGCAUUAGCUAGUUGGUAAGGUAACGGCUUACCAAGGCAACGAUGCGUAGCCGACCUGAGAGGGUGAUCGGCCACACUGGAACUGAGACACGGUCCAGACUCCUACGGGAGGCAGCAGUAGGGAAUCUUGCGCAAUGGGCGAAAGCCUGACGGAGCAACGCCGCGUGAGUGAAGAAGGUCUUCGGAUCGUAAAACUCUGUUAUUAGGGAAGAACAAAUGUGUAAGUAACUAUGCACGUCUUGACGGUACCUAAUCAGAAAGCCACGGCUAACUACGUG
rnacentral:rRNA from 1 species